rnacentral:rRNA from 1 species
ACGGAAGGCAGCAGUGGGGAAUAUUGGGCAAUGGGCGAAAGCCUGACCCAGCGACGCCGCGUGAGGGAAGAAGGUCUUCGGAUUGUAAACCUUAGUCAACAGGGAAGAAGCAAGUGACGGUACCUGUGGAGGAAGCCACGGCUAACUACGUGCCAGCAGCCGCGGUAAUACGUAGGUGGCAAGCGUUGUCCGGAUUUACUGGGUGUAAAGGGCGUGUAGCCGGGUCGGCAAGUCAGAUGUGAAAUCCACGGGCUUAACUCGUGAACUGCAUUUGAAACUGCGGAUCUUGAGUAUCGGAGAGGCAAUCGGAAUUCCUAGUGUAGCGGUGAAAUGCGUAGAUAUUAGGAGGAACACCAGUGGCGAAGGCGGAUUGCUGGACGACAACUGACGGUGAGGCGCGAAAGCGUGGGGAGCAAACAGCAUUAGAUACCCUGGUA